GGACUUGGUCAUGUUGUCUGUCCUGGAAGCAGGACAGGGCACUUUGUGCUGUCACAGCCUUAGCAAACCUACCUCAGCUGGGUGGAGAGAUGCACCUCGAGUAGUUUGUACCCUGUAGUGCCUAGAGCAGUCCAAGGCUGACCAGUGUGAAACCCACCUAGCCUGCCUGUCAGCAGUGCACUGCGCUCUGCAGAGCAGCAAGGCCUUGCUGCAGUUCAGUGUCUCUGGAAUGUAGCCAUACAGUGUGGUUACUGCUGUCUGCCAUGGAUGUGUUGUUCACAGUGCUCAUUCUAAUCAAGGGAAGAAGACAACUCCAUUAGAAGACUGAGAAUAUUUUUCAGGGACUCCACAAUAAAGUGACACCCAGGCACAUACAAAUACGAAUUCUUUUUCAUUAAAAAGUUACAUCUAAAUAAGAUUGUGACUGGCUAAAACUAACUCUAAUUGUCAGAUUUCAAAUCUUCAAAGAAAAAUGUUUCAGAUGUUGCUCAGGUGGCUGAGGAGCCUGUCCGUGCUGGAAUCUGUGAUCACAGCUUGAUUGACACACAUACCAUCCUUGACACAGUUCUGAGGAGGUCCCCUCACCCAGGACCUUCUGCAGCACUCUGGAAGGAGCAGGAUGUGGGGAGCUUGCCAGGAAAGCCUUGUGCUGCAGGUACUGCUUAUUGCUGAUGAGGAUGGUCUUUUUACUCUAAUUCCAUUAUAUAUGGGGGGGGGGGGCUUGUAUUUUUUGAGAAUGAAACUGGCUAAAUUUACUCUGGUAGGUCACAUGAGAGACCAGAACACAGGUUACGUCUUUAGUUAGAUUUAUCACCCAAAAAAUUUACAAAAUGCAUAGAAUUUAAGAACUAAAUCCUGAGUUUAACAAAAGCAGUAACAUAGUCUACUACUUCACUAAAGGCUUUUAGAGUAAUUCUGGUAAGAAAGGAAAAUUAACAUUCAUGUAUCCAUUCUCUAACAACAAAGUGUCACAAGAAAAGGAAUUAGGUUCUAAGGCAAGGUCAGUGUCCUGCAGUUUCCUGCGGUGGGUGGGGCGCAUUGUCUGUAACCCUGGUAUUUCCCUAGACACCCCCUCUUGUCAUGAUUACAUUUGUCUCCCUCAUUACUGAAGGUGUCUGUGUAGUCCUAGCUUCUCUGCUCCAGGCUGUGUUAGAUGUGGAAGUGGAGGGCCAGGAGAAAUGUAGACUCAGCAGUACACAAUGCCCGGCUUCCAACGCGUCACACUUUUGCCAAGAUUCACCUUUGUUAGAAAAGUUCAUCUAAGGCCAGUGUAACGCCACCUGCUACAUUUAAAUAGCUUCUUAAGAUAUGAUUGCUUGUGAUUUAAAGUCAUGGAAAGCUAAGACUUAGUAACAUUACACUUACAUUGAUUAUAGCAUUCUCUUAGAAGUUGCUAUAAUCCAUUGCAUUAAGAAACAGUAUCUUACAGUGAACAGUAGCAUCGGAGAAAGCCCUGGACCGGUUUGGAUGGGUUGCUGGGCAGCUAGAUUCUGCUUAGUAGAUUAGACAUCCUUGGAAGAUCAAUCCAGUAUUGGAUCGUUUAAAAAAUGCUCUAUUACUUCUCUAUUGUCAAUGUACUCUAAGUAGUGAAUUCUGUAUAUACUGCUAUUUUCUGUCUGUUCAUUAUUAUGAGCUUAUGUAUAUUAGUGAAAUAAACUGACGCUUCACGUUAUCUCCUCAGCGUUCAUACACAAACAAAG
rnacentral:lncRNA from 1 species